AGCUUCUCCAAUUAAGUUUUCAUCUUCCUUGAUUGGGUGGGUCUCUCUCUUCAUCUUCCCGAUUCGAUUCGGCCGAUGGGUCGAACCCUAAUUCGGGGAUUCCCGCGCGGGUCGUCAAGGGAGCUUCUGAGCAGAGAAAGAUUCUUGCACCGCCUUGUUUUGCAAGUUUCCAAACCGCUGCGAUAACUGGUCCGUGCAGCCAUAGGAAGCAAACGCCUCCGGACUGAAUUACUGAACAGUGCAUUGGACGGGAUUCUUUGCGGGUUCUCUGUAUUACGGUCUCUGGACCCCAAUCCACAUCGCUGCCCGCUUUCGAUAGGACGGAGACCAGAAUGGAGGGUUGCAGCCGUUGGAGUCAUCUGGGGAUGUGGCCAUGAUGCGGGUCAAGUGGAUCGGCUUUCUCAUUGAAGCCAUAAGAGGAAGACGGAGGAUAAAAACCUCGACCCGAAAACAAGAUUAGGGGUUUUGCAACAUUUGCAACGGGUUUCGUUUCUCGGGUUCCACCCGAUGAUGGUAGUGCCUGCAUUUUUUGCCUUCAAGAUUAGCAGGGGCUGCAUUUCUUGAAAUGCUCUUGGUUGGUUGGCACUGGCAAUCGCCAUGGGAAGCCUAAAGCCUAAUACUGUGUUCAUAUGUUCUGGCAGCCAACCAUUGAAAGAGAAUGCCAUUACAUCAUUCCUCAUCACCUUUCAGGUCAUGUCUGAAACUUGUUAUGUUUUUUUGUAGAAUGAGUUACGAUGUUGGAUUGUUUUCGUCUGUUUCCUGUCUUGAUUCAUAAUAGAACACAUGUUCUUCUCGUAGAUAUAUACAUCGACGACGACAGCAUUGCUUA